CCAAAUGAUACGUGGCUCCUGCGUCAUGUGUCGCCUGAGGAUGAGACUGCACCCUAUUAGGUAGUUGGUGGGGUAACGGCCCACCAAGCCUAUAACGGGUACGGGCCCUGAGAGGGGGAGCCCGGAGAUGGGCACUGAGACAAGGGCCCAGGCCCUACGGGGCGCAGCAGGCGCGAAACCUCUGCAAUGCACGAAAGUGCGACAGGGCCACCCCGAGUGCUAGACGCUGAGUCUAGCUUUUCCCGAGUGUAGUAAGCUCGGGGAAUAAGCGGGGGGCAAGCCUGGUGUCAGCCGCCGCGGUAAUACCAGCUCCGCGAGUGGUCGGGACGAUUAUUUGGCCUAAAGCGUUCGUAGCCUGCCCAGCAAGUCCUUUGUGAAAUCCGGCGAUCCAAUCGUCGGGCGUGCAUAGGAUACUGUUGGGCUUGGGGACGGGAGAAGUCGAUGGUACUCUAGGUGUAGGGGUGAAAUCCUAUAAUCCCUAGAGGACCACCAGUGGCGAAGGCGGUCGACUAGAACGUCCCGACGGUUAGGGACGAAAGCUGGGGGAGCGAACCGGAUUAGAUACCCGGGUAGUCCCAGCUGUAAACGAUGCAGGCUAGGUGUUGGGUCAGCCACGAGCUGCCCCAGUGCCGCAGGGAAGCUAUUAAGCCUGCCGUCUGGGAAGUACGGUCGCAAGGCUGAAACUUAAAGGAAUUGGCGGGGGAGCACCACAAGGGGUGAAGCCUGCGGUUCAAUUGG
rnacentral:rRNA from 1 species